GACGUAGGGCGCGAGCGUUGUCCGGAUUUAUUGGGCGUAAAGAGCUCGUAGGCGGCUUGUCGCGUCGUCCGUGAAAACCAGGGGCUCAACCCCUGGCCUGCAGUCGAUACGGGCAGACUAGAGUUCGGUAGGGGAGACUGGAAUUCCUGGUGUAGCGGUGAAAUGCGCAGAUAUCAGGAGGAACACCGGUGGCGAAGGCGGGUCUCUGGGCCGAAACUGACGCUGAGGAGCGAAAGCGUGGGGAGCGAACAGG
rnacentral:rRNA from 1 species